CCCACUAGUCCUCACUGUUGGGGAGUAGUGAACUACAUCUAGUUUAACUAGUAAUUUAACUACACUUUUUAGAAGCUUGGUAGUUUAACUCAAUUCAAAUCUUGGUGUUUUGAGUAGUUAUUAACUUUUUUGUUAUGUAGCGGUGAAGGCAGCUAACUACAGGAACUACACACUACUUUUUCUUAAAGAAAAGAAAAUAUGAUUUAGACAUGAGGAGGGAGGGGUAUGGCCCAGAGGAGCGGUGCUGGGUUCCUGCGGUGGAUAUCCUGGAUGCUUCGCUGACCAGGGAUUUUCAUCGUUGGUGCCCUGACCGACCCGCGUCCCUGUGGUCGUCCCCAAGGCCGGUGUCUUCCUGCUGCACCAGUACCGCAGCAGUACCGGUGUAUUCCCAGGGCAGCGCAUCCGGGGGGUACUACUGUCGCGGAUCCCGUCACCGGCCUUCCAGGCAUGACUGAACUGGAUUCAUUUACCAGCAACCCCGGACUGUCUUGUCUCAUUACGCACACCUGGUUCCCAAUUCCCCAGAUUAGUAUGUUAUAUAUGUGUCCUCUGUUCCCCAUUGUCUUUGUUGGUUGUUUUUACCAUGUCCGUUGGUUUUGUGAGAACCUGUGCAGUUGUAUCGGCUUCCAUGCUACGUGUUAUAGUGCACUUGUUUUACUGGUCUUGUCCCAUGUAUUAUUUUGUUGUUUACAUCUCGAUCUUUUGUUUGGGUGGAGAAAAUAAAAAAAAACAUUAUGUA